CAUCUUUUAUAGGAUGUUACGUCUGCGUGAAUACAUAGCGCAGUCGAGGUAGACGCAGAGAACUGAAACAUCUAAGUACCUGCAGGAAGAGAAAGAAAAUUCGAUUCCCUGAGUAGCGGCGAGCGAAACGGGAAAAGCCCAAACCAACAAGCUUGCUUGUUGGGGUUGUAGGACUCCGAUAUGGUAGUCUAUUCAGAUAGUCGAAAUACUUGGAAAAGUAUGUCAAAGAGGGUAAAAACCCCGUAGGCGAAAUUUGGAUAACACCUAGGAGGAUCCUGAGUACGGCGGAACACGAGGAAUUCCGUCGGAAUCCGGGAGGACCAUCUCCCAAGGCUAAAUACUCCCUAGUGACCGAUAGUGAACCAGUACCGUGAGGGAAAGGUGAAAAGCACCCCGGAAGGGGAGUGAAAUAGAUCCUGAAACCGUGUGCCUACAACAAGUUAGAGCCCGUUAAUGGGUGAUAGCGUGCCUUUUGUAGAAUGAACCGGCGAGUUACGAUAGCAUGCGAGGUUA
rnacentral:rRNA from 1 species